CUGAAGAGAGGAGCUUGCUCUUCUUGGAUGAGUUGCGAACGGGUGAGUAACGCGUAGGUAACCUGCCUUGUAGCGGGGGAUAACUAUUGGAAACGAUAGCUAAUACCGCAUAACAAUGGGUGACACAUGUCAUUUAUUUGAAAGGGGCAAUUGCUCCACUACAAGAUAGACCUGCGUUGUAUUAGCUAGUAAGUGAGGUAACGGCUCACCUAGGCGACGAUACAUAGCCGACCUGAGAGGGUGAUCGGCCACACUGGGACUGAGACACGGCCCAGACUCCUACGGGAGGCAGCAGUAGGGAAUCUUCGGCAAUGGGGGCAACCCUGACCGAGCAACGCCGCGUGAGUGAAGAAGGUUUUCGGAUCGUAAAGCUCUGUUGUAAGUCAAGAACGAGUGUGAGAGUGGAAAGUUCACACUGUGACGGUAGCUUACCAGAAAGGGACGGCUAACUACGUGCCAGCAGCCGCGGUAAUACGUAGGUCCCGAGCGUUGUCCGGAUUUAUUGGGCGUAAAGCGAGCGCAGGCGGUUUGAUAAGUCUGAAGUUAAAGGCUGUGGCUCAACCAUAGUUCGCUUUGGAAACUGUCAAACUUGAGUGCAGAAGGGGAGAGUGGAAUU
rnacentral:rRNA from 1 species